GAGAGAAGGUUAGAUUAGAUACUUCAUAUAGUAGAAUACACCCCACACCAGACCAAUCACUAGAGAGAGAGAAGGUUAGAUUAGAUACUUCAUAUAGUAGAAUACACCCCACACCAGACCAAUCACUAGAGAGAGAGAAGGUUAGAUUAGAUACUUCAUAUAGUAGAAUACACCCCACACCAGACCAAUCACUAGAGAGAGAGAGAGAGAGAGAAGGUUAGAUUAGAUACUUCAUAUAGUAGAAUACACCUCACACCAGACCAAUCACAGGAGAAGCACCCUGUGGAUGACUGUAAAGAGGAGGAGGCCUGUCAGGAUGAGCAGCACCCUGUGGAUGACUGUAAAGAGGAGGAGGCCUGUCAGGAUGAGCAGCACCCUGUGGAUGACUGUAAAGAGGAGGAGGCCUGUCAGGAUGAGCAGCACCCUGUGGAUGACUGUAAAGAGGAGGAGGCCUGUUAGGAUGAGCAGCACCCUGUGGAUGACUGUAAAGAGGAGGAGGCCUGUUAGGAUGAGCAGCACCCUGUGGAUGACUGUAAAGAGGAGGAGGCCUGUUAGGAUGAGCAGCACCCUGU